AUUUCGUCUGCUGAAUUUUCUUCAAUAGUUUUUACUAUUUUCUUGUUUACAAGAUUUUUCGCAUGUGCAAAACAAAAUUGUGUCGUCAGUUUCGUACAAAUUGCACACUCGAUUCCUAUCUUUUACCUCUCUUAAUUAUAAUACGCACAUUCCUUUUUCGAAGGCCAAAGAGGGGAAUUUCAUACGCUCCACAUUUGGAGAACUCUUUUGAGGGUGACACACUCUUACAAAGAAAUCUACAACGAAUUUUACCAAUUGAAGCUUACAGCAAUGUCAAGGAUGAGCUCUCAACGUUUGGAGCUCGAGUAGCUACAGACAUCUACAAGUAUAUUAGCAGAAAGUCUCUUGAAAUUGCAAUCACUUCACUAAUCCCUUCCCAUCACCAAUCUGGGAAGGAACUACAAACAUUUUGAGUUUGGACGUACUCAGAGCAUUGGCCAAAAGUGAAGGCCAAGUGUUGGUUGCGUUUCACCAGAGGAUUCAAGGUGUUCUCGACUCGACGACCAACCCGUCCUUAGCCGAGUGUUGCACUCAAUUGGAGAAAUACCGUUCCCAAUUGAUUUCGUUCGCCCAGAAGAAUCCCGAUCAGUUGGAAUACGUCGCCCGCGAUUUCGCUUUCGGCCUGGCUCGCACUCUAGCCGGUGCCUUGCUCCUGGAACACGCUUCAUGGGGCAGAGCAGUAGACAGCGAUCGUGCUGCAGCCGAACGUUGGCUAGGACAACGAGAUCUCCUUGCCCAAUCUCUGGUUUCGGGACAGACUGCAAGCCAUUCAUCGCUGUCCGUCCAGCAACUCGACGAAGCUUUGGUCUUUGAUGGAUACGAUCAAAAGAACCUACUCUCGCCCCUCUUCUGAUCUACCGUUCUAGUUCUUCGCUUCUCAUUAAAACGAAACUCAGGAUAGAUUAUGGAUUAAACAGAAACUGCCAUCCCCGACCCCCCAAAAACUUAAAGGCCCAUCAUAUAAGAACGUUUACAGAAUUGAACGACCGAACUUGUACUAGGGAGAAAGUUGAUAUUGAUCUAGAAUUGGAACGGGAGUUCGAUUUCAACGAUCCUGAUUAGCCAGGCCCAGUAAAUACGGACCGAGACAUUUUUUCAUUUGUCAUAAGAAAUAUCGCAAAAAAUGAAAAUGCGCAUGUAAAGAAUAUAGCAAUCUUUAAGGAUUCUUUCCUUUUCUCUUAGAGCCAGACCUGAAAGUUGCACUACCAGUUUAUGAAAUAAGUCAAAAGAUUCGUGCGACCAGUUUGACAGAAGAUUUUUGGCCAAAUUGUCAACUCCAAACAAAAGUGGCUCUACAUUCUAACCAGUUCCCCCACGUGUUUCGCGGUUUAGGGUCUUAUUUUCAAAAUUCCAGUGUUUGAAAAUGGACUCAAGUGAAGUGAAAUUAUCUAGCGAUGGCCUUAACCCACUACAAACUAUUGCCCGAAGAAAUUGUGGCUUAUUCCACGGUAUAACACAAUUAUAGCAACUGAACGGCCGAACGUGUUAAGGGAAGAAAGAUGUUUUCCAAAAGGAGUUGUACAGAUGCACCAUCAAACUCCUUCCAGAAUCCAGUAUUCUCGACACAAAAAUCGGUACAUUAAGAUUCAUUAAAUGACAAACAACGAAUUGCUGGUGACUGGGACCCUGCAUGUAGUUACGUGGGUAAACAGCUACCGAAUCCUUCGUGUAAAACCAAAUAGAAAGGGAAACUUUUUCGCAACUAAAUCAUAUACGGUCAUCUAACUCUAUCUUAGUAGGUCAUGACAUACGCGUAUUCCAAAUAGCGCAGCAAUCUCGAGUAUUCACCCUUUCUGAUUGGAUUCGUGAUGUUGAGGUUGCUUUGCGAGACAAUUCAUUAUCAAACGGUCAGCACCCACUGACACUACUACAAAAUAAUCAGUUCCCCAUUCUUUAUUACUCCAGUGUUUGUUUAACUUGGAAGUUCUUUAAGUUAAGACAGCGUCAAUAUGAGCUUGAAAGUAAAUCACUGUUGUUGUGGUUGCUCCCUACAAACUGGCACCAAAAUUAUUGGAUGGCUCUACUUGGUGUGUGAAAUUAUAGCUAUUGUUAUGUUGGUGCUGGUCGAAGUCUUACCUGAAGAGCAGACGAGUCAGACGACAAUCUCGGAAACUGGAAAUCCAGAAACAUUGGCGAUCAUGGAGAUAGCUAGCAUAGUUAUUGCCGCCAUCAAGAUCCUAGUCACCGUGCCACUUCUUAUUGCGGCUUAUAAGAAUAGUCGACCGAUGCUACUUUUACCUUGGCUCAUUUUCGCCAUCCUAACUGCGUUAAUGGCAAUCGGCACCGGAAUAGCAUCCGUAAUCAACUCAAGUGGCAAAGAAACUUUUUUCAAUGAAAUCAUCGCCAACACUGUUGUUAAUUUUCUUGGAUCUGCUCUUACAAUCUACUAUUGGAUAGUCGUCUACAGCUUCUAUCGACGACUGAGAGAAACACAACCAUAACAGCUAUAAAAAUGCAUCUUCAUUUCGAUUCAAUAUUUCUAAAAACUCUUAAGCAUUUGCAUUAAGUCUAUGGCCAAUGGAGAAUCUAAUACAUUAAGUAUAACCGAAGCGUCAAGGAAAAUGAAUUUCCCUCUUUGAUUUGGCGGUUUCAGGAUGUGACCGUGAUGGAAUCACCAAGUUCAUCGAUCCCUUCCUUGUCCGGACUUGUAUUCAAAAAGAAACAAAAGAGUAAAGGAGUGGGCGGAUUUGGUAAAAUCAUUUCAUUUUUACUUCCCACUCAAAAAGAAAAUUGGCCUUGGCUAUUCCAGAUAAAGGGUAGUGGCUUGCAUUUGUUUUGUUACGUUAGAAAAGGCAGCCCACACCUGAACUUUAUUAUUAUACACAAUAUGUGAGAAACUGAGAACAAAGACGUCGUAUAGUAAUGCUUCAAAGUUCAAACUGUAUUUGAGAAAUAAUUGAUUUCCAAGUGCAAGUGGUACAACAGACGACAACAGAUUGCGUGUUUGUUUUCACUGUAUUUCGGACUUGUACUUUCGCUGUCGAGUGGAGCAUUUUUCCAUCCUUGUGUGAACGUGUGUUGUGUACAUUAAAUUGUUGUGAACUGAAUAAUGCCGGUUUAUUACACCUCUGUCAAAGCUAACAAUAAUGCAUUCCAAUCAGACGGAAAUGGAAUAGUCGGCUGUCAGUUGAAUCAGUUCUGUUGCGGAUACUCACUCCGAACCGGAACCAAAGUCGUUGGUUCCCUGUCUAUGCUAGGUGGAGUGGCAGUGCUCAUUUAUUCUCUAACUGUCAUCUCCAGUUUGAAUAAUGCGCGACAUGGGAAUUAUUUCUUGUUGGGUAAUUCGUUAGGAAAUGCAAAUGAUUCCAAAAUACCUAUGACAAGUUUCGUCACGUCGGCCGUCGCCAUUGUUUGCUCGAUUCCCGUUCUCGUUAUGGCCUAUAAGAAUCUCAGUCCGAGGCUUCUCGUCCCUUGGCUAGUGGUGAACAUUGUGCCGUCGCUCGCCGUCAUUGGAUUCUUCAUUUACUUGGCCGUUUUUGAGCUAAUAACUGAAGGCUUGGAUGACAUCAUAGGAAUAAUAGUCAUCUUCGCCGGUGUCCUUUCAGGAGCGAUUUGGUUCUACUUUUGGCUGGUCAUCUACAGCUUCUAUCAGAAUCAAAAGAUAAACGAUAGGGAGCCGCUUCUGGACGACCAGAGCUAACACGAAGAAUAUUAAUUUAAAUUUACUAAAUGAGCUAAUCUUUGAAGAAUACAAAUUUGAACUUGUC
rnacentral:lncRNA from 1 species